GCAGCAGGCGCGCAAAUUACCCACUCCCGGCACGGGGAGGUAGUGACGAAAAAUAACGAUACGGGACUCAUCCGAGGCCCCGUAAUCGGAAUGAGUACACUUUUAAACCCUUUAACGAGUAUCCAUUGGAGGGCAAGUCUGGUGCCAGCAGCCGCGGUAAUUCCAGCUCCAAUAGCGUAUAUUAAAGUUGUUGCGGUUAAAAAGCUCGUAGUUGGAUUUGUGUCCCACGCUGUCGGUUCACCGUUCGUCGGUGUUUAACUGGCAUGCCCGUGCGGACGUCCUGCCGGUGGAUGCGGUCGGCCGUGGGCUUCUGGUCUGCGCGUCGGCGGUCCGAUGCAAUCCUACCGCGGUGCUCUUCACCGAGUGUCGAGGUGGGCCGGCACGUUUACUUUGAACAAAUUAGAGUGCUCAAAGCAGGCAGUGGUUCGCCUGAAUAUUGUGUGCAUGGAAUAAUGGAAUAGGACCUCGGUUCUAUUUUGUUGGUUUUCGGAACUUGAGGUAAUGAUUAAUAGGGACAGACGGGGGCAUUCGUAUUGCGACGUUAGAGGUGAAAUUCUUGGAUCGUCGCAAGACGAACCUAAGCGAAAGCAUUUGCCAUGAGUGUUUUCAUUAAUCAAGAACGAAAGUUAGAGGUUCGAAGGCGAUCAGAUACCGCCCUAGUUCUAACCAUAAACGAUGCCAGCUAGCGAUCCGCCGAAGUUCCUCCGAUGACUCGGCGGGCAGCUUCCGGGAAACCAAAGCUUUUGGGUUCCGGGGGAAGUAUGGUUGCAAAGCUGAAACUUAAAGGAAUUGACGGAAGGGCACCACCAGGAGUGGAGCCUGCGGCUUAAUUUGACUCAACACGGGAAACCUCACCAGGCCCGGACACCGGAAGGAUUGACAGAUUGAGAGCUCUUUCUUGAUUCGGUGGGUGGUGGUGCAUGGCCGUUCUUAGUUGGUGGAGCGAU
rnacentral:rRNA from 1 species